rnacentral:rRNA from 1 species
AGAGUUUGAUCCUGGCUCAGGACGAACGCUGGCGGCGUGCCUAACACAUGCAAGUCGAGCGGAGAUAAGCGGAUGGUAACUGAAGCUUAUCUUAGCGGCGGACGGGUGAGUAACACGUGGGCAACCUGCCUUGAAGUGGGGGAUAACACCGGGAAAUCGGUGCUAAUACCGCAUAACAUACACAAACUGCAUGGUGAGUGUAUCAAAGGAGCAAUCCGCUUUAAGAUGGGCCCGCGGCUGAUUAGCUAGUUGGUAAGGUAACGGCUUACCAAGGCGACGAUCAGUAGCCGACCUGAGAGGGUGACCGGCCACACUGGAACUGAGACACGGUCCAGACUCCUACGGGAGGCAGCAGUGGGGAAUAUUGCGCAAUGGGGGGAACCCUGACGCAGCAACGCCGCGUGGAGGAAGAAGGUCUUCGGAUUGUAAACUCCUGUCUUCUGGGACGAAUAAUGACGGUACCAGAGGAGGAAGCCACGGCUAACUACGUGCCAGCAGCCGCGGUAAUACGUAGGUGGCGAGCGUUGUCCGGAAUUACUGGGCGUAAAGGGCGCGUAGGCGGCUUUUUAAGUUAGAUGUGAAAACCCGGGGCUUAACUCCGGGCGUGCAUUUAAAACUGGAGAGCUUGAGUGCAGGAGAGGUAAGUGGAAUUCCUAGUGUAGCGGUGAAAUGCGUAGAUAUUAGGAGGAACACCAGUGGCGAAGGCGGCUUUCUGGACUGUAACUGACACUGAGGCACGAAAGCGUGGGGAGCAAACAGGAUUAGAUACCCUGGUAGUCCACGCCCUAAACGAUGAUCACUCGCUGUUGGCGAUAUAUUGUCAGUGGCUAAGCAAAAGUGAUAAGUGAUCCACCUGGGGAGUACGACCGCAAGGUUGAAACUCAAAGGAAUUGACGGGGGCC